CGGCACCUACGAGGGCUAUCAUCAUUUUGGAAAUCAGCUCUCUAAUGACCCAUCUUUUCCACUCUUGGUAUAAUCUGCUUCCUUCCGGCUUGCCUCAUGACCCGGAGAGGGACAUAAGGGUAAGUUCCUCUCAAGCUGAUGAGUACAAGGAAUGGUGCAUCCCUAGAUCGAAUGAUAAACUCUCCAGUUGGGAACCACUCGUACAUCCAUUGUACCUGCUCUUCUCUCAGAUUUCAUAAUUGUUCCACCCACCUACUGGCGUCUUCCGGGUGAGCAAACAUAUCUGGCAUGAAGUACAUCUGCUUUGGAUGAUGGAAAGCAAUGUGAUCAUCCCAAUCCCGGCGUAUGAUCUCCUGCCUAUAUUCUCCCUUUUGAAGAU
rnacentral:lncRNA from 1 species